rnacentral:rRNA from 1 species
UACGGAGGGGGCUAGCGUUGUUCGGAAUUACUGGGCGUAAAGCGCACGUAGGCGGCUUUGCAAGUCAGAGGUGAAAGCCCGGGGCUCAACCCCGGAAUUGCCUUUGAGACUGCAUCGCUAGAAUUGUGGAGAGGUAAGUGGAAUUCCGAGUGUAGAGGUGAAAUUCGUAGAUAUUCGGAAGAACACCAGUGGCGAAGGCGGCUCACUGGACCGGUAUUGACGCUGAGGUGCGAAAGCGUGGGGAGCAAACAGG